rnacentral:rRNA from 1 species
AUUGAACGCUGGCGGCAGGCCUAACACAUGCAAGUCGAGCGAGCGGCGGACGGGUGAGUAAUGUCUGGGAAACUGCCUGAUGGAGGGGGAUAACUACUGGAAACGGUAGCUAAUACCGCAUACCAUCAGAUGUGCCCAGAUGGGAUUAGCUAGGAGGUGGGGUAACGGCUCAACUAGGCGACGAUCCAUAGCUGGUCUGAGAGGAUGACCAGCCACACUGGAACUUAUGCUCGUGCCAGACUCCUACUGGAGGCAGCAGUGGGGAUUAUUGCACCAUGGGCGCAAGCCUGAUGCAGCCAUGCCGCUUGUGUGAAGAAGUCCUUCGGGUUGUAAGGCACUUUCAGCGUGGAGGCGUUACCCUCAGAAGAAGCACCGGCUAACUCCGUGCCAGCAGCCGCGGUAAUUC